rnacentral:rRNA from 1 species
CGUAGGUGGCAAGCGUUGUCCGGAAUUAUUGGGCGUAAAGCGCGCGCAGGCGGUCUUUUAAGUCUGAUGUGAAAGCCCACGGCUCAACCGUGGAGGGUCAUUGGAAACUGGGGGACUUGAGUACAGAAGAGAAGAGUGGAAUUCCACGUGUAGCGGUGAAAUGCGUAGAGAUGUGGAGGAACACCAGUGGCGAAGGCGACUCUUUGGUCUGUAACUGACGCUGAGGCGCGAAAGCGUGGGGAGCAAACAGGAUUAGAUACCCUGGUAGUCCACGCUGUAAACGAUGAGUGCUAAGUGUUAGAGGGUUUCCGCCCUUUAGUGCUGCAGCUAACGCAUUAAGCACUCCGCCUGGGGAGUACGGCCGCAAGGCUG